AUAAAGACGCGGAUUUUGGAAUUUUUAUUCCGCCAACGGGCCGGACGAGAUCGCGGUU
rnacentral:sRNA from 1 species